rnacentral:rRNA from 1 species
AUCGAACGCUGGCGGCAGGCUUAACACAUGCAAGUCGAACGAGUGGCGGACGGGAGAGUAAUGCUUGGGAAUCUAGCUGAUGGAGGGGGAUAACUACGGGCAACUGUAGCUAAUACCGCGUACCAUAGGAUGAGCCCAAGUGGGAUUAGGUAGUUUGUGAGGUAAAGGCUCACCAAGCCGACGAUCUCUAGCUGGUCUGAGAGGAUGACCGGCCAAACGGGGACUGGGACACGGCCCAAACUCCUACGGGAGGCAGCAGUGGGGAAUAUUGCGCAAUGGGGGCAACCUGACGCAGUCAGGCCGCGUGAAUGAAGAAGGCCUUCGGGUUGUAAAGUUCUUUCGGUAGCGAGGCGUUACCUACAGAAGAAGCACCGGCUAACUCCGUGCCAGCCGCCGCGGUAAUAC